rnacentral:rRNA from 1 species
GACGAACGCUGGCGGCGUGCUUAACACAUGCAAGUCCGGGAUAUCCCCGCAAGGGUGACACCGGCGGAAGGGUGAGAAUACAUUCGAACGUGCCCCGAGGUGGGGGAGUAGGCGUGGGAAACUGCGCGUAAUACCCCAUGAGCUCUUCGGAGGAAAGCUUCGGCGCCUUGGGAGCGGCGAAUGUCCUAUCAGGUAGUUGGCGGGGUAAAGGCCCACCAAGCCUAUGACGGGGUAGCAGGUGUGAGAGCACGGCCUGCCACAUCGGGACUGAGACACUGCCCGGACUCCUACGGGAGGCUGCAGUAACGAAUAUUCCGCAAUGCGCGAAAGCGUGACGGAGCGACGCCGCGUGCAGGAUGAAGCGGCUUUGCCGUGUAAACUGCUGUCAGAAGCUACUAACACUGAAGAGCUUCAGAGGAAGGGCCGGCUAAUCCUGUGCC